GGCCUGGUAGCUCAGUUGGUGAGAGCGUCGGCCUUCGACCGAGAGGUCGGGGGUUCGAAUCCGGGUACCU